UCUAAUGGAUGAGCAAAGAAAGUGAGUUCUUGAUAUGGAAUCUACUUGUGAUGAAGAUGCUGUGAA
rnacentral:pre_miRNA from 1 species